GAUGAAGAACGCAGCGAAAUGCGAUAAGUAAUGUGAAUUGCAGAAUUCAGUGAAUCAUCGAGUCUUUGAACGCACAUUGCGCCCCCUGGUAUUCCGGGGGGCAUGCCUGUCCGAGCGUCAUUGCUGCCCUCAAGCACGGCUUGUGUGUUGGGCCCCCGUCCCCGGUUCUCCCCGGGGACGGGCCCGAAAGGCAGCGGCGGCACCGCGUCCGAUCCUCGAGCGUAUGGGGCUUUGUCACCCGCUCUGUAGGCCCGGCCGGCGCCAGCCGACACCCCAACUUUAUUUUCUAAGGUUGACCUCGGAUCAGGUAGGGAUACCCGCUGAACUUAAGCAUAUCAAUAAGGGAGGA
rnacentral:misc_RNA from 1 species